rnacentral:rRNA from 1 species
UCACGCCGGUUUAAACUCAGAUCAUGUAAAAUUUUAAAGGUCGAACAGACCUAAUAUUAUCAGCUGCUACACCAAUAAUUAAUUUUAAUCCAACAUCGAGGUCGCAAACUUCUUUUUCGAUUAGAACUCUCAAAAAAUAUUACGCUGUUAUCCCUAAGGUAAUUUUUUCUUUUAAUCACAAAAUAUGGAUCAAAUAAUCAUAUAUUAAUGUUUUUUAAUAAAAAAAGUUAAUUAAAUUUUUCAAUCACCCCAAUCAAAUACAAUCUAAAAUUAAAAAUUUAUAUACCAAUAAAUAUUAAUAUUAAAUAUUUAUAUAAAACUCUAUAGGGUCUUCUCGUCUUUUAAAAUAAUUUUAGCUUUUUAACUAAAUAAUAAAUUUUUAAUUUAAUUUAAAUAGAGACAGAUAUUUUCUCAUACAACCAUUCAUACAAGCUUCUAAUUAAGAAACUAAUGAUUAUGCUACCUUAGCACGGUCAAAAUACCGCGGCCAUUUAAUUGCUCAGUGGGCAGGUUAGACCUAAAAUUAAACUCAAUAGGACAUGUUUUUAAUAAACAGGUGAAAAAUCUAUUUGCCGAAUUCCUUUAUUUAACCUAAAAUUUUUAAAUUAAUUUUAAAUUAAAAUUAUACUAAUUUUAUCAUUAUUUCUUAAUAUAAAAAAUUAAAAUUAAAAUUUUAAUAAAAAAUUUAUAGAAAAUAAAAAUUAAAUCUUAAAAUAAAUAAAUUAUAACAUUUUUUUAAUAAUAGACACUUCUAAUCUUAUAACUUUUUUCAAUCUCUAAAUCUAAUAAUUUUAUAUUUUCAAGCUUAUCCCUAAAAAUAUUAAAUAUUAAUAUUAAAAAAAUUAAAAAAUUAAAUUUUUAAUAAAUAAUAUUCAAAAUUAAAUUUUUUUCUUAAAAAACUAGAUAUAUUUAAAAACGAUUAACAUUUCAUUACAAAAAACUUAUUCAUAAUAUUUUUUAAACAAUAAAAAAAAUAAGUUCUUAACUCUUUUAAAUUCGAGAUAAUAAAAUAUUUUAAAUUAUUUAAUAAACCCUGAUACACAAGGUACAAAAACUUAAAUCUUCUUAUAAUUAAUUAAACUAAUUCUUUCACAAUACUUAUAAACUAUCAUUAAAAAUAUUUUUUCUAUAUGAAUAAUAAAAAUAAAUUAUUUAUAAUAAAAUAAAAUAAAAUAAAAUUAUUAAUAAUUUUUAAAUU